UGCGUAGGAGGGCAGGGAAGUCAGUGGUGAAAUCUCCGGGCUUAACUCGGAAACUGCCGUUGAUACUCUCUGUCUUGAAUCCCGUGGAGGUGAGCGGAAUAUGUCAUGUAGCGGUGAAAUGCUUAGAUAUGACAUAGAACACCAAUUGCGAAGGCAGCUCACUACACGAAGAUUGACUCUGAGGCACGAAAGCGUGGGGAUCAAACA
rnacentral:rRNA from 1 species